GGUAUUUUCUCAGUUAAAAACAAAAAUUAACAAAUAUUUUGCAAAAGGUGAACUCUAGGGUCCCCACCGAAUCCUGAACAAAUUAGAGCGAAGCAGAAACAGCUGUGCAGAAGAAGGCUCGACCUGGGAGCAGCUUCCCCACUCGCAGAGCACACUCCUUGGAGUCAGCUCUUGGCAGCUUUGACUGUCCCUUGACACCGCAGCACAGGAGCUGGCGCUGUGGAAAGCGUGCUCAGGACGAACCGCGGAAGCUCCCGCGCUCUGUGCUUUGGGACCUGCUGAAUUCCAAGGUAGCACCAUCCUCAUUUCCCCCUGGGACAUAACCCGUGUAGACGAGGAAGGUUUACCUCCACAGCAGGAGAAAGAAAGCAGAGCGGCAGCUGCUGGGCCCUGAAACCCCAGCUCACGUCUCUGUGAGAGCCCUCACUAGCCAGGACUCCUUCGGCAAUCCUGUGACCCUCACCUGAAGAUGUCCAGAAGGAGAACAGCCGGGUCAAAUGGGACCAUCAAUCCUAGUGUUUGAGGACUCUCCACACUGAGUUCCAGUGUCUGUACUGUCUACGCUCCCAGCUGUGGAGGAGGCUUCCUUUCUCCAGCACUCCCCAUUUGCAUUUGUUGUGUCUUGAGUCCAUGAUGAUGGCCAUUCCUCUGGCAUAAAGUGGAACCCUAGUGCUGAUUCCAUUUGCAUUUCCGUGCUGGCCAAAGUGCUGAACGUUCUUCUCCUGUCAUCUGCUGGGCCUUUGCGCAGCUUCUCAAGAAAUAUUAUCAUGCUUCUGAAAAAGGCCCAAACUACAAAAACCUAGGAAACCAUCACCCUUCACUCCUGUUUAUCUUCCGAAUUACCAGGGAGCAAGUCUUUGUGAACACAAAAAGCACUCCUGUGAUGACUGAAGGGGAGACAGCCAAGGACGUGACCAGGUGGAAACACAGGACGCAGAUUUCCUCCGGGGUUCCCUCAUGCAGGCCCUCUUAGGUCCCGAAAAGAAUUAUGACUCCACACGCUGCAUGCUGACCUAUAACUAAACAGGGUUAGCACAGCCCGGGUGGGAACAGGAAAACACCCAAAUUCCACGUCCCUGUCUGUGGCUCCUGCUGCCCAGCCACAAGCUGAUGAGACACACCUCUGAUUCGGAAAGAGAAUUGGAUGUCAACUGUCAAUGGAAAGAGACUCUGUUUUGCUGUAUCCAUUGUGAACUCUUUAAAACAAAGAGUGAUGGACCUGUCUGGGGAGGAAAAUGAAUUAAUUCACCCCUACAGAUUCAUGAAAGGAUUAGAAAUAUACAUCUCAAAGUGCCAAUCAUGUCUUUCAGCUGUGACUGAAGUAAAACUUUUGUUGUCUUGUAUUACCAAAAUGCAAUGGUCUCCUCAUCGCCAGAGAGGUUUGCACUGAAUCAUAAUCACAAGUGGGGUGUCCUCCCCAUGGCGCCACCCCAGCCAGUGUGAUCUGAGUCCAUGCUGGUAGGAGGCAGGCAAAGGAAACAAACUCUUGACUACUUAAAGCCUAAAUGUCUGAUGCCCUAAACACAAGCAAUAACAUUUCAGAGUAGAUAUAUUAGACUUCAUUAAAAUUUAAAAAGAGCUUCUGUGCUUCAGGGAACAUCAGGAGAAUAAAAAGAUACCCACAGGAUUGGAGAAAAUAUCUGAAUCACAUUUUAUAAGAAAUAUAAAAAAUAAACACUUAGUACACUUAGUACACAAUGAUAGGGCAAUGGAUCUGAAGGGAUGUUUCUGCAGACAUGGGGAGAGGCUCAGUAUCAAUGGGUUCUGGAGUUCAUCCUCGAAAUCUAUCCCUGACCAAGGCA